UACGGAGGGAGCUAGCGUUAUUCGGAAUUACUGGGCGUAAAGCGCACGUAGGCGGCUUUGUAAGUCAGAGGUGAAAGCCUGGAGCUCAACUCCAGAACUGCCUUUGAGACUGCAUCGCUUGAAUCCAGGAGAGGUGAGUGGAAUUCCGAGUGUAGAGGUGAAAUUCGUAGAUAUUCGGAAGAACACCAGUGGCGAAGGCGGCUCACUGGACUGGUAUUGACGCUGAGGUGCGAAAGCGUGGGUAGCGAACAGG
rnacentral:rRNA from 1 species